AGGCACUGAAUGCCUUUAAUGCGGGAGACACGCACCUCCGUGCCGCUCGAGAUGGUCUAACCAGAGCCACGAAGCAGUAUGUGAAAGACAUACGGGUGAGGAAUUUGAAUAGUUAUAUAAGCCAGUAGCCCCCGAGACUUAAAAUAGUUAGAAUAACUGAUUUAAGGAUCAUUUGUUAUGCAGGAUCUUACUCAGAAGAAUACCCACCUGUCCCAAGAGCUUCAAGAGUGCAAAGCCCAACUUGAGGCCGCACUAGCCGCCGCAGGGGGAGGCACAGAGACUCCCUCUGGUAAUACAUACUUCGAAAAGAUAAGUGGUUUAUGAAGUGCGGCGUGUGCGUAAGCCUGGCAAUUGAAUUGCAGAGGGUGCCGGAUUGGAACCGGACAAGCAACAUCUGCUGCGCCAGCUGAAGGCCGGCGAGAAGGUGCUUACGAGGGUGCAGCAGGAGAGGAACAAACUCCAAGAUGCCAACACCCGGCUGGGCGAAGAACUAAAAGAUGUUCGGGUCCAGCUGGCUGACUCUGUAAAGGAGAAUCGGCGGCUUCGUCGCGACAUUUACAGUAAGUGCUUGAGCAAACUCUUUUGAAAAGAAGAGUUCGGCGAGGAAGUCGAUUGACAGAAAUGUGUCUGUAGGUGUGCUCACGGGUCGUCCGGCGGAGGAGAUGCCGGCUUCCACGGGUGACCUUCUUCCCGAGCUGCUGCAACUGCACGAACGUAUUCGGCAGGCGAUGAGCGGCGUCGUCCAGGCCUUAUGGCCGACCG
rnacentral:lncRNA from 1 species